GGACAUAUAGCUCAGCUGGUUAGAGCGUUCCGUUCACAUCGGAAAGGUCUCUGGUCCGAAUCCAGAUAUGUCCACUA
rnacentral:tRNA from 4 species